rnacentral:rRNA from 1 species
GACGAACGCUGGCGGCGUGCUUAACACAUGCAAGUCGAACGGAAAGGCCUGCUUUCCCUUGUGGAUUGCGGGUGCUCGAGUGGCGAACGGGUGAGUAACACGUGAGUGAUCUGCCCCCAACUUGGGUAUAAGCCUGGGAAACUGGGUCUAAUUCCCGAUAGGACUGCAGGGUGGUGCCUGUGGUGGAAAACGAUUUUCUAGUGGUUGGGGAUGAGCGCGCGGCCUAUCAGCUUGUUGGUGGGGUAAUGGCCUACCAAGGCGGCGACGGGUAGCCGGCCUGGGAGGGUGGACGGGCACAUGAGAACUGGGAUACAGCCCAGACGCAGGCAGGAGGCAGGAGUGGGGAAUAUUGGGCGAAGGGCGGAAGGAUGAAGCAGCGACGAGUGAUGAGGGAUGACGGCCUUCGAGUUGUAGUCUCCUUUCGACCGCGAGGAAGCCACCUGGUUGGAAGGGUGGUGACGGUAGUGGUAGAAGAAGCACCGGCUAACUACGU